CCAGUAGUGAUCGCAAGAUGGCAGAGUUGCGAGUGUAAGACCGAAGGGAGAGGAUUUCCCCUUUUUAUCCGGCUGUGCGUCCUUCUGUCUACAGGACCUCCUGAGGGAUGCAAGCAAGGAGAUCCCCCUGAAAGAGCGAGAGACCCUGAAGUGUGGAACUGGAGCUUCUUUGAUGGUGUAGCGAGCCAGCAGAGAACCCCAGUUUUGAAAUUCAGUCGAAAAGAAAAAUGAAAUAAGUCCUCUCGACAUCCUCCUCUCUGGAUAUGUGAUAGCAUUGUGUGCGACUGGAAGUGAUAACCGGCCUCAAAAUUGCUUGUUUUAGUUUUUUUUUCUAAAAUAGAUAUUAUUAGUCUUUCCAAUUUACCAAUUAGUCAAAAGUGAUUACAAAAAAAGAGAAACCGUACAGUCGUACUAGCUAUGACUACAUGCCACCCCCCAAGUCAUCAGACGUGGCUGCGCUGCUCGGCAGGACAGACCUAGUGAAUCGUUGCUAGGCCCCAGGGACAAGUUCUCAAUUGGCCUGUGGCUUAGGUUUGAUGGUGAACAUUGUUGGUGUCCGUACGUUGGUCCCCCCCACAGUGGGCGGCCCCCCCAUUACUGAGACCAAGAUGACGGCACGGGCCAUUCUACAGUGUCGACCCAAUUCGCACCCCUUCCCAGAUGUGGAGGAUGGGGAAAGGGAUGCAUUGUACGCCAUGCAAGUGAG
rnacentral:lncRNA from 1 species